GGGAGAAUGCAGCCUGAGGCCACCACCCCCUUGCCGCCUCAGAAGGGCUUUCAUUAUGCCCAGAGGGAGAGCUGAAGACAAGAGUUCUACAUCCAGGUUUUAUAAAGACGAAGGAAUGUUCUCUGAUCAAUGAAAAAGAAGAAAGUGCAGGCAGAGACAACCACAGCUUGGAGAAAGGACCAAAAGAGAGGAGCUAAGUUUGAGUGCACAAAAGAAGCAGAGCAAGAAGAAAGAAGAGAUGUUUAAAGAGGAAAUGCACCUCACAAAGCCGACCUGCUGGGCAUCCACCCCUCCUACUUCACUAUCGCUCUCCUCUCUCGUUUGAGGCGGACAAGCACUGGUGUAGAAGCGGAAUGGCACAUAUGUAAAAUAAAACGGUACAUAAAAACUGGGCAGUAGAAUAGCUGUUCAUAAAAAUAAACAAGAUAAAGAAAUUAUUUCAUUUUUAACUUGAGUGUUGAUGUCAUAGAUACGCAUAAAAAAUGUCCAUUUCAACAGGGAUGCAUAGAAAAGUAUGAAAUAACAAAGGGACUUCAGCAACAAUUUGGAAAAUGGAGAUGAUAGUGAAUAUGUCAUUUUCCCCACUGGCUCAAAAGACAAUACCUCCAAAAUUUUAUCAGUUCUCUUAUGACUCUUCUGAGUGUUCACUGAGCCCUGCCAGUGCCAUGGGCCAAAUAUGUAUGCGUGGUAUGGUCCAGUCUUGUCACAUCAGCCAUGAACCUAGCUUCCAGUAGAGCCUGGAUAUAUGGAGAGCUUCUCAAGCCUCCUAUUCUAUCUCAUCUCCUGGAAAGGUGAUAAUAUGGAAAGUCAUGGUAAUCCCAAACAUCUUGCCUGACCAGUGAAAGGAAUGGCAGUUACAUUGGCGCUUCAGCGAAAGACAUAAACAGGGAAGCAUGAGGUCAUCCUAUUUUCAUAUGAAGAAGCAGUUUAGGAUGAGGAUGAAGUACAAUUCCCUUACCCACUGACAUUGGACUUGGCCAUGUGUCCUGCUGUGGCCAUGGACUGUGAGAAGAUGUGAUACCAAUGGAGGCUUUAAAUAUGGCUUACAUGAUUGGGAUUGAUCUCUUUUGUUUCCAAAACAAGAACAUGCCUCAGGUAUCACUGGAACAAAGAGGAUGAAAAAAACAAAAAAACUUGGAGCAGAACCAAACAAAAUUGUUGAGGAAGUUCAGGAAUCAAAAAAUUGGUUAUAUAUAUAUAUGUAUGGAAAUAGGAUCUAUAGUACAGUGCAUUGCAGUUGAUAUUUACUAAUUUUCUUCUUGUAUUCCUUUCUUUCCUUCUUGUCUUACUUUUCUUUCUUUGGCCCUUACACACUGAACAAAGAAAAAAAAUCUGUUUUGGAUUUUCUUUUCUCUGAGAGAUUUACUUGUUUUUCUUCCAAGAGGAAUAAGGCUUUAUCUUCUCUCCAUAUAAACAUCUAUCUUAUAGUAAUGUCCUUCUCAACUUUUGCCAAUAUUUUUUCUGAAAACUUCAUCAGCUUAACUUAAUUUUCCUCUUAUUCUGUUCAUUCAUGGCUGAACAUGCUCAGUGAAGCACAACAAUCAUAAGCAGUAAACAGUUGUCAUUUUUUUCCUGUUGCUUACUUCAAGAAGUAAUUAAUAUACUGUAGCUCUGACACAUAAAGACUAUUUUGGUUAAAAACAUAAAUUAAGAUCCCUUUAUGUAAAAAGGAGCCUUUAGUUGUUAUGUAGCCAUCACAGUCAAAUAUUAACAGAAAGAAGAUAGCAAAUUUAUGUAUGUACAAUAGAACAAAAACUGGAAUGCAAAUGUUGCUUUCAGAAUUCUGUCCUAUCAGUCUGUUUAUUUUACUUCAUUUUAGGUAAGUCAUCAAUGUUAUAUAAUUGAAAUUUUUCCUUCUAUCAGAUUUCAGUUCCAUAUCUUUUAUGUUAAAUUUGGAAACUCAAGAAAAUAAAGAAAAACUCAGUAGUGGUUGUUUAGCACCACAUUCAAGUUACGCUGUCGAUAACUCAACUUCUGGAUUACGUUAAAACUGUAAAGUAAAAUUGUGAUGUUAAAUAUUGAAACAAAUU